rnacentral:tRNA from 2 species
GCGCUCGUGGCGAAACCUUCGGUAGACGCGCCUGGCUCAAACCCAGGUGCCGGUAACUCCGGCGUGCAGGUUCAAAUCCUGCCGAGCGCA